CGGAGGGUGCAAGCGUUAUCCGGAUUUAUUGGGUUUAAAGGGUCCGUAGGCGGAUCUGUAAGUCAGUGGUGAAAUCUCAUAGCUUAACUAUGAAACUGCCAUUGAUACUGCAGGUCUUGAGUAAAGUAGAAGUGGCUGGAAUAAGUAGUGUAGCGGUGAAAUGCAUAGAUAUUACUUAGAACACCAAUUGCGAAGGCAGGUCACUAUGUUUUAACUGACGCUGAUGGACGAAAGCGUGGGGAGCGAACAGGAUUAGAUACCCUGGUAGUCCACGCCGUAAACGAUGCUAACUCGUUUUUGGGGCCUUGGCUUCAGAGACUAAGCGAAAGUGAUAAGUUAGCCACCUGGGGAGUACGCUCGCAAGAAUG
rnacentral:rRNA from 1 species